AUUGCCACUAGCGUCGACUCUCGAUUCAUUUCGUGUACGUUUCGUCUUUGCAAUGCCACCGAUGAUAUUUUCAGUUCACCAGCGACAUCCGAUUGCGGUGCGUUAAAGUGUCUUGUUACCGAGUUUCUUCCCCACUUUUUUCACUGUUCGGUGGCUCAAUUAAAUUUUAAUGCGGUGAUAUACUUAAUUCUUUAUAUUUCGGUGUUAAUUUCAAUUUUUUUUGUGUUAUUUUUAGACUUUUUUAUAGAAUGGACGAUGAAUUGAUGAUUUUUUUUGGAUUACCACUAGAAUUCAUUUGACCAGUAAGUUAAUUUUUAUUUUGAAUAUUACUAGUCAUCAAUGGAAUUACAUACAAAUCAAUUAUAUCAAUUUCAAAAUUUCAAAUUUUCAUCAUCUUGUCAUCAGCAAUUGAGUGGUUAUAUUUGUAGCGUUUUUUUAGUAUGAUGUGGAAUGCUGGUAGCUCACAACGUUGGUGGAACUGGAACUUUCUGAAUAGUUGUAUAUAUAUCUCCCUUUUUUUGUAAUUUAAAAAAAAAUACCUCAUCUUUUAUUAUAUAGAUAUAUUUUGUACAUUUUUCUCUAUUAUACUUUUUCAGUUAUAUUUAUCAUAUACUACAGAGUUCUUCAUGAGAUUAUAGCAUGUUAUGCAUUCCACUUUCUUUUAACUAAAAACUGCGGCACAAACGGUUCUUUGAAAAACAUUAAUUACCCAACAAUUAGUUAUACAUAAUUUUUAUCUUUUCUUUAGUUGUACUAAGAUGAUAAGUGCAGACAGGUCUUCCUGGUAAUAAAAUCUGACCGCUUCUCGUCAGUAAUUUCUUUAAGGAUUUGUUUUUAUGAUUCUUUUACUCUCAUUUUCUAAUUCGUAAACAAAGAAAUCGGGAAAUUUCCUCAUUAUAUUCCUUCUAUACAUAUUUGUUCAUAUAAUGGUUUAUGUUCUCUAUUUCUCUAACAAACGUCACAAAAUAAAAAUGUAAUCGCAAAAUGAAAGCUUUCUACGUAUAGGUAGACGGUAGUAUAAUCAAAAUAAAGUGAAAAAAAUUUUAUUUAUUUGGAAUCAAAAUAUUUGACGGAUUUAGCAUGAAACAGGUUUACAGAAAAAUGAUUUACUGUGAGCACAUUUUUGUUAAUACAAACAUUUGGAUAGACUUUUCAUUACUUCAGAUUUUUAUAUUUUCAAUAUUUUGAACAUAUUUGGUACCAUAACUGUAGAAAACUUCAGUAGAUACUGUUUGACUAAAACUCGGACAAAAUUGUAUUCCAAAGCUGAAGUCAAUGAUUAUUAGCAACAAUUUGUAUUUUGAGAUUAAGUAAAAAACACUCACUCCAUGAAUAUUUUUAAUUUAACAAAUCAAUUACAGAUGUACAAGUUCACACUUGAAAAUGCUGUCCGUACUGGGCCAGUAUAUCAAUAUUUUUUCAGCCUUAAAAAAUUUGUCCCUGACUAAAACAUCAGAAAAGUCCACAAAAUAAUGUCCGAUAACCGUAGAGUGAAGCUGAUUGAAAUAGCUGAGACUCUAAAGAUAUCAAAGGAACGUGAUAGACAUAUCGUGAAGGAAUAUUUCGAUUUGUCAAACCUCUAUGCACUGCACGUGAAGCACUGACUCUAAAACGCGAGAAGACGCAAAAGUUGAUUGGCAAAGACUACUUUAAUAAGGAAAAACUAUAAACAGCUUCUAUUACGUUAAAUUAUUGGGGCUUGUGAAGUACGAAUUCGCUAGAAAAUGAGUGCUAUUUCGAUGAGACAAUGCAUCAUGUCACAAAUAAUAUAAUAUGUUUGUUCUUGAUAGCUGCAAUGAGACUGGACCAGUGCAGGCCAGUUCAUGAGUGUAUAGAAUUAGUUCGAUCGGAUACAAAGAACGAUAUAGUGCAGAGAGCAAUGGAGCGUUUGUUUAUUGUUGUAUUUGAUAUUAUUUGAUGUGAUUCAGGCCUUGUAGUAUCAACAAUAAUAUAAAAAGAUUUAGUACUUUUUGAUAUUGAACUGUGAACUGUGUGAACUAGUUUAGUUCUCUUGCACUGCUUUUAAGAACGGCGACACUAGUGCUGGUUCUGCUCCAAAGAACGCUUUAGUGUACACUUCCUGAACUAGUUCUGCCAGUGCAGCUACCAAUAACCAACCUUAAUAAUGGUAUCAACAAAUGUAUGACCGCUAUAAAAUAUGAGAUAUCUAUUUACAAUGUCGGCUUUUUAUUACGAUGUCUAGUGAGUGUAUGUUUUUACUUUGUAUUUUAAAUACAACCAUUAAUAUGUAUGCAAAUUUCGAGGUUAACACAUUAGUAAUAACACGUCCUACAAUAAAAAUGUUUGUUGAAUUAACUAAACAAGGAGUGUGAUAAACCUAAAAAUUUUCAAUUAUGCGCUUCGGCUUGCGUUUAUCUUCAUACACAAAUUUCAAUAAUUCAAUUAUAAAGCUGGCGAAACGUCAAAAAGAGUUUCGAGGUUGUUGCCGAAUCCUUUAUUGAUUAUUUUUUUAUAAUACAAAAUCCAACAGGUUUUAAUCUUACGAGGAACUGGCGGUUACAAUAAGUUUCGUUAACAAAGCAUUUCACGUAACAAUGCAUGUAAUUUUUGAGGUAGAGGCUGGCAUCGAAACGUUACUACACAAUACAAUAAAAAAACAAUAAUUUUGGAUGUUCGUUGAAUUGGGAAACUCUAAGAAUUUGAAUAAUAAGAAUAAUAAAUUUCAUUAUUCCAAUUUUUGUAUAGUAUAGAAGUGGAAAUUAUUUGGUACAUCCACAUAUACAAAGAACACACUUCGAAAAGUCGUUCUACCAUUUUAAUAGCAUUAUCUAGAAAGCUUAAGCAAAAAAUGAAUGGCUACGACGUGAAGAUGUCAUAUAUUGAUACCUGAUACACCCUUUAUUAUAGACAUAAGUACGAGAAACAAAAUCGAACAAAUUUUAACGUAAUAACGAACAAAGCUAUGCCAUCAAAUGGUACACGGAUGGCUCCAAAACAACAGACAGAACUGGAAUUGGAGUGUACGUGCUCUGAACCAUACACGCUGAAUACAUAUUUCAAGCGGAAACAUAUGCAUCACAAAAAAUUAUCUCGAAAAGCAAUUAUCGCGAACAGGAGCAGACAUUAGACCUCUCAGAUGUCAUGAGGUAGGAAUGCCUCGACAAGUUGAAUAAUUCAGGCAAAGAGAGUGAAUAAAAUUGCCCUCCAAUGAGUCCUGGAACUCACUGGACUGGAGGAGAAUGAAACAGGUUUGCUGAAGGAGCGUAUAAACCUUUUUGUACUACUUUAAUCUUUCCGUGAAAUCAGCUACAGAACAACAGACUAAGCAGUAGAGAUUGAGACAGGGAAAGAUACACCAGGAAACCUAUGAGCAAAGAAUAUUUGUAGGAAAAUUAGUCUUGUUGUAGCGUUGCCGCUUCAAUGAACAUCUGAAGACGCUGGGUUCAGCAGAAGAUGAGAGUGUAGAUUUUGCUACGUAGGAGCAGAAACCUCUAUACACAUUCUCCCACAUUGUGAAAUACCAACUAGCGCAUGAAAUCCCGACGCCCGAGUGAGAUUAUCAGAUCAGAAUCCUCAAUAUCACAGCAAAAAAUGGGAACAUAAUGUAUUUAUGACAAUGUAUGUAUAUGUAGAUCUAUGAUAUUUCCUUUCUUGCUACGAUACUGGAGAACCCAGUGUUUACAGCUGAUCCAUUAAUCCUACUUUUUUAAAUAGUUCUUAGAGUUUAAAGCGGUAUCUUUACCCGCUUCUUCCCUUUUUUUUUCGGGAUUUUUUUUCCUAUUCUAUUUUUUUCUCUCUCCAUGGUUUUCCUAUGAGUAGCCAGGGGAGGUCCAUUCCAGCAGAGAUUUGCAAGCUGGAGUAAGGUCUGGUUACAUGGGAUGCGACCCGGUGCCCCAGGUGGAUCUUUCGAGACAGCAAUAACCCUACUGCUAUUCAUCCGUCGCCAUGAUGUCUACCAACUUGGAUUCGGGGGAUGUUUAUCGACCUCCCGGUCUAGAUCAGCUAUAUUUAGAUUCAACAGGGUCACCAAGAGAAGAAUGCAAUCGAAGUCGCAUACUUUCAAUCGUAUUGGAAGUAUCUAGCUGUCAUGGUGGUCAAUUUAAGGAAGUGCAAGUCCUAAUACUUUCCGUGCACAACUUGGCUACCCUGGGAUGGUCCUCCUUCCGUUCGGCUUUUAACUCGAUUGCCAAGAUUUCUAGAGCAUCACGACCCCUAUUAAUUUAUGAUUUAUAUUAUUAUAUUAUGGUUGUUUGAAAUUUUGUUUGCAUCUCGACGUAUGAUACUCUGUAAUUUACUGUAGAUCAAUAAUUAAUGAUAUUUAUAUAACUUGCCUAUGAAUGUCAACACCUACCAAUAUAUUUGUUUCUUAUUUAGUAAUCAUUUUUCAAAUACUACGUAAGCAAGAGUAGGUAGGAAUUUGAAUAAUGAUCAAUUGAAAGCAACCUUACUUUUACUUGUAGCAUUACGUCACAAAUUAAAGUGACAUCAUUCUUAUAUUGUAACCAACUGUUAUUUUAAUGAUUCUAAGAUGUAUAAUUAUAUCAACCAUUCAUCACUGCGAAUAAUAAAAUUUAAUUGCAAAAUAGGUAUAACUGAAUCCGUAUCUGGUACUGCAGCACAAAUAAAUCGUUGAAGUGAAAGUACUUGCAUUUUUCAAGAAUCGUUGAAUUGAAUUGAAAAUAUAUUGGAUUCACAAUUUUAUUUAUUUCUUUAAAAUUUUUCCACUUUGUACUAGUGUAUUCUCAUUACAUAUUCAAAGUUCAAAGCUAGUUUUUCUUUUUGUUCGUUCUCUAAACUUUAGAAUUAUGUGACAUUUUCAGCAUCUGCCUUUUUCAAUGUUUCAUCAUGCCAGUAGAUUUUUCCCUACGACUACUUAUUUAUAUGGUGUGAUUAUUAUUCUUAUUCGACAAUAGACACUUUCAAUUGGAACGACUAGAGUACUUAUAUCGUCUUUAAUUCUUGUUUCCCAGUUUCAUUUCUAUCUCACGGAUGAAAAAGUAUGUAUAAUCUAAACUGAUAAAAACUUUUUUUCAAAAUGUUCUCCAGAUUGAAAUAUUCUGACAUGCGUAAUGACCCAAUUUCAAAGCUCCAUUUAUAAACGUUCUUCUGUUGUUGAAAAUCGUUGACUAGCAGUUUAGUUUUGAUUUUCGAAAACAAAAUAAAAGUCAUUCUGUUCUAAAUUAGAGCUGUAUGAUGGAUAACUGAAUGCUAGUUGCAUUGUUUUGAUGAAGAAUUAUUAAUCUCUCUUUGACGAAUUACGAAUUCAUUCAAAAGCUUCUGGAAAACAAAUAGUUGUGUACCUGAAGCCACUAUUGCAACAUGCCAAAGAAACAAGCAACCGUUUGCUCUGAUAUGUUUUUUCAAACUACAAACUACAAACUACUUUUGUUGGAUGUAAUUUAACUUAUCUUUAGAAAUGCCCAGAGUUCCUGACUAAUGGCCAUAGUCUCAAUAUUAAUCAGAUUUGUUCAGACAUAACGACGCCCUUCUCGGAUUUUGUUCUUAAGUUCAUAUAAUUUUUUUAAAGUAACAGGUAUUUAGUGGGGCUUCAUCAUUUCUUAUAAUGUAUUAAGUAUAUCCUCAUGAAAAUAAUAAACGUGGAAAAUAUAAAAAGUAAUUGCACUAAAGUGUUCACCAUUCAAUUUUAUCUAAUCACAUUCAAACGACAUGAUGUUAAUGUUAAACAAUGGAAAGUUUACACCUAAAAUUUCAGUAAUAAACAGUACUACUAAGUGGGAAAAUAUAAACAUUCCUCGAAUGAUCAUUAACUUAGUUUUUAUCCCAAAUUUGUUGCUGUAGUUGUUAACCGUGAUAAGAUGUGGCUUGUCUAUAUUCUGUGCAAUACAAAGCAAAUAAUACAAUUAGAGUCUCAAUUCCUCCGUAAUCGGUUCUUAUAAAGCAUUGCAAUAAGAAGCAUUAGCGCAUGUAUAUCACCUUAGCUCGUCUAAUUAUGGCAUAAUUCUUUAUGGAAUUCAUUUUCUUAAAAAUUACUUACCAUACAUCUGAACAACAAAAUCAUAAGUAAGAGAUACCUCGGGGCAGUCGCCUGGAUUCGUGACUAUAGUAAGUCUAAGUACCUCGACACAAUGUGGUAGGGAACACCAAAGCAGAUAGGCUUGUGGGACGAAAAGAGACCAUCGAGCAUCUGUUCUACCAGUAGAUUGUUUCGAAAAACUUUAUUACCCUAACAUUAGUCUAUUGAACUUUUUAAAACUUUUUUUAAAAAUUUUACAAUUUUCAACAAGCAUUAUAUUUAACAAUGCCUACCUACUAAUUCCAUUAGUAGUUAAUGUCAUCAAAACAUUUAUUGUUAUAGAAUUAUUCUACAUGAACAAGUAAUUCACGAUAAAGAAAUAUUUCAUGUAAGAAAUGUAAACACUCAAAUGCAUAUAUAAAUUGAAAGGUUUUUAUAAUUUUUCCACGUAUAAAAACGUUUAUAAUUACUCAUUAUUAAGUGAGGUUAAAUAAGUAAUUUACAUUGCAAUUUGUUCAAUUACACUAAAGGAAAAUGUGAAUAAUAUUACUACUAAUAUAUAUGUUGUCAUUGAAAUUUGACGUACCUAUUUUUAGACGAAUAGAACCUGUUUUGGCACCUGAAUUUAUACUGAAGAAAUAACAAAAUAUAUGUUUGAUAUAAUCUGAUUUCAAAUUUAAAUACACUGCUAUGAGCAAUGCAAAAACUGCAUAAAAAUUCGAAUAUUAUAUUUAAUUACAAAAAAUCUUGAACAUAUAAGGAUUUUCCCACCUGGUAUUAAAUUACCUUAACAAAUGAAGACAAUAUUUUUGUAAUGAAAAAAAUGUCAUACCCGGUUUUUAAAUGAAAUUUGACCAGCUGUUAAUUUUAUAACAAUAGCUAUACAAAAGUUCCUUCAAAUUUUUUUCAAAAUAAAGUCCCAAUAUGACAUGUAUUUUCAUUUUCUAUUUUCGGCCAGAUCUUUUUCUCCUAACCAAAUAUUGUCAUAUAUAGGGUGUUUAGGGCAUGGACCGACAUAAUAUUUUGAGAGGGUUGGAGGGCUCAUUCACCAGUUUUCUCCUAUAGACUCUUUGUCUCAAAUAUUACGGUGGUAGGAAUCUUUUUCAGGUUAUUUGAAAAUCGUCCAAAAGAUUGCCCUUAAAUCUUGAUACCUUUUUAUUUGGGAUUGUAAUACCACUUAAUGGAGAUUGUAAGGCCACUUAUUUGGGGUUGCAAUAGCACGAAAUAAUUUGAGCUUCUAUACUGUGAUGGUUUGCUAAAUAAAUGAUUACUUACUUGUUACAUAUUAAAAAAAAUUCCUUAGCUUACAAAUUCGAAAUUUAUGCAAAUAUUAUGAAAAGUGACUAUCUCUCAUUUCUCAAGGCCUUUUGAGUGAAGCUUUUUUUUAAUUCGUUUAUUUUGCAUUAGCAUACAUCGCAAAAUAUAAAGGUAUUUCAGGUAUUACAACCCCAAAACAAAAUUUGAGCUUUACAGAGGUUCAAAAUUUAAAAAUAACCCGGAAAAUACAGAGCUCAAGUGUCAAUAAAAUUAUUUAUCAAACAUAAAUUACACAGAAGCUGGAGAAUUUGAAAUAUUAUAACUUCAUGUGGAGAAUAAGAAAAACAAGAAAACUGGAAAGAAAUAAUAUAUUACGUCGCAUACAAAUACAUCUAUCUCGAAGUAAAAAUACAUUUACAAAUAUCUGAAAACUUACAAGCAAAACGAACGUACCGUUAUUUUCAUGUUACUAUAAUUAAAAGUUAAUGUUGAGAAUAGAAUAUUAUAUCAUUUUAUCACAAUCGCACACAUAAAAAUUUGAUAAAUUAGUUGAAUAAAAAACACCAGAAAAUUUGAGAAAGACAACAUAUCUUUCAGAAAACCAAAAUUAGAAAA